ACAUCAGAUUGUGGCCCCUAGAUCCUGCUUGGUGGUGAACUGAGUGCGUCAGAACCCAGGGAUUAAAUCGCUUUGGAAAUCCACCAGCUUGUCCUUGACCAGCCAGAAGGCCAGGACACAUGCCCAGACCUCCUGCCAGCUCAGGGAUUGUGGCAAACACCAUCCAUGCAGAUAUUCAGGGCAGCUGCAGAGAGCCCCCCCACAGAGGACCACAGCCCAGGCCCAAGACAAUGGUCCUGGCUCAAAGUGCUCUGGAGACCGGAGCUCCCGAGACCGGCGCUGGGGCCCCACCUCCACAAAGAGGCAAGGAAGCUGUUAUGGGCUUAGACAUGCUGUGCUCGAGAGGGCGUAGUGUGUGGAUGCAGGUGCUCUGAGCACGCGCCUGCACCUGUCUUCUGCGCGCACACCCCAGUGCGUGUACGCAAGUGCUGUGUGCGUGUCUGCAUGCUUCGGCUGGUGUGUGUGGAUGUGUGUGUCUCCAUCCAUGUUUCCAUGUGUUGUGUGUGUUUGCUUUCUGGGAAAUGAGCACCCACGGGCUUGCAUGGGCAGGUGUGUGUGUGUGGGUGUGCACCCGGGGUGUGUAUGGGUGUGUGCUUUUCUGUACUCGAGUUUGCCCAGGAGGAGAUGUGUGUAUAUUCUUCUGUGUGCGCUUGUGUGUGUUUCAUGUGAGCACAUGCUUGCAUGUGAGCUUUUUGUGGGUGCAUCUGGGUAUGUGCCUAGGUAGGUGGACACAUGUGCAUGAGCCCAGGCAUCAAGCUCUGAGAAAAGAGAAGAAUGUUAGUCCCACACCUGCUUAGUCGACGGGCUUCUCCCACCCCCUACCCACCCACAUUCUAUUGGCAGGACUGGGAUUUUAAUAAACCUCUUACAGGUGAGGUGGCCUCUACUUUUCUCACACUUUUUUUUUUUUUUGAGACAGAGUCUCACUCUGUUGCCCAGGCUGGAGUGCAGUGGAGUGAUCUUGGCUCACUGCAACCUCCGUCUCCCAGGUUCAAGUGAUUCUCCUGCCUCAACCUCUGGAGUAGCUGGGAUUACAGGUGCAUGUCACCACGCCCAGCUAAUUUUUUGUACUUUUAGUAGAGACAGGGUUUCGCUGUGUUAGCCAAGAUGCUUUUGAUCUCCUGACCUCAUGAUCUGCCUGCCUCCACCUCCCAAAGUGCUGGGAUUACAGGCAUGAGCCACCACGCCUGGCCUUCUCACACCUUCUUAUACAGUCAUGCACUAUAUAACGUUUUGGUCAGCUACAGACUGCAGCUACAGUGGUGGUUCCGUUAGAUUGUUAUUAUUAUUUGAGACAGAGUCUUGCUCUUGUUGCCCAAGCUGGAGUGCCCUGGCACAACCUCAGCUCACUGCAACCUCUGCCUCCCGGAUUCAAGCGAUUCUCCUGCCUCAGCCUCCUCAGUAGCUGAGAUUACAGGGGCCAGCAACCACGCCCGGCUAAUUUUUUGUAUUUUUAGUAGAGACAGGGUUUCACCAUGUUACUCAGGCUGGUCUUGAACUCCUGAUCUCAGGUGAUCAACCACCUCAGCCUCCCAAAGUGCUGGGAUUACAGGCAUGAGCCACCACGCCCGGCCCCAUAAGAUUAUAAUACUGUAUUUUUACUCUACCUUUUCUACAUAUAAAUAUGUUUAGAUACACAAAUACUGUUGUGCCAUAAUCGCCCACAGUAUUUAUGCAGUAAGAAGCUCUGCGCAUGUGUAGCCUAGGAGCAAUAGCCUGGGUGUGUGAUAGGCCAUACCGCCAUCUGGGUUUGUGUAAGUGCACUCUAUGCUGUUGAUACAGUGAUGAAAUUGCCUGAGGAUGCAUUUCUCAGGAUGUUUCCCCUUUGUUGAGUGAUGCCUGGCAGUGCUUACUAGUCCUCCUCUUUUUUUUUUUGAGACGGAGUCUUGCUCUGUCACCCAGGCUGGAGUGCAGUGUUGCGAUCUUGGCUCACUACAACUUCUGCCUCCUGGGUUCAAGCAGUCUCCUGCCUCAGCCUCCUGAGUAGCUGGGAUUACAGGCAAACCACCAUGUCUGGCUAAUUUUUGUACUUUUAGUAGAGAUGGGGUUUCACCAUGUUGGCCAAGCUGGUCUUGAACUCCUGACCUCUACCCACCUCUGCCUCCCAAAGUGCUUGGAUUAGAGGUGUGAGCCACCACUCCCAGCUUCAUCCUCCUCUUAAGUUUUCCCAAACUCUGCCUGCGAUGGUCCUGCACCCUCCAUGCCUGUUCACUGGCUCAGUGUUUUGGAGCCCCCUAGCUCUGUGAGAUGCUCUGGAAGAAAAGGGCUCCUGAGUCCACGGAUGUCUAGUAAGCUGCACUCAUUACACCUUCAUGGGGAGUCGUCGUAUAGCCAAGCUUAUGAAAGGUCCUGAGAAGUCCCAAAGUAAAGAAACCUGCUUAAGUUAGUUCAUCACAGAGGUUCCUGGAAUUCUUGGCUGGUGGAAGCUGAUUGGAAGGGAUAACGCCUUGAAAUCCGCAUCCCGUGUGCUGUGGGAGUGGCUCCCUGUGUUCAAGCGGCCUCUUUGCUGCGUCUCCAGCAACUGUGCGCAUGUUUACAAGUCUCCCUUCUGUCACCCAGGCUGGAAUGCAGUGGUGCGAUCACAGCUCACUACACACUCGAUUCAGCAAACAGGAAUCAUAGUCCAAGAAGAAAAAACCAAGGAGGAGACUGAGGUUCCGAGAGGUCACCCAGGCGGCUGCGACCCGAUCGGCCCCCGGGUCUCCCAGCGCCCCAGGCCGGCCCGUGUCCGCUCAGCUCCUGCCUCCCGGCCCUGGGGCCUGCGCUCCCCGGGGCCAUCCCGGGCCCUCCCGAGCUGCGGGCGGGUCCAGCCCCCGCCUCCUGCGGCCCCCGCGGCUGCAGAGCUGCCCGCGCCUCGGAGGAACCAAAAAAAGCCGGCGCGUGGUGCACGCGCGAGCGGCGCUGGGCCCGGCGCUGCCGUUUUUAGUGUGCCUGGAGCCCAGAAUACAGACUUCAUCACCCCCAGUAAACGCGGCCAUAAUAUUUUUGGUUGCAUAAGCAAACGAAAUUAGAAAUCUGGAAAGCGUUCAAGACCUUUAGAUGCGAGCGCUCCGCAGCGCGGGGGAUCAGGGGAGAGACAGAUGGGGAUUAGGCGAGUUGAGCAUCAGGAGAAUAAUUUCCUCUUUUAAUUUGGGUUCCAUCAACAAGUAAAACAGCAUUAGCCGCCCUGUUACGUAACCGGCGCCAGAGCCUGCUCUGAUAAGCGGCCGCAGGGAGCCAGCCAGGCCCUGCGGCCUCUGCAUCAUCCCCCAGUCCGGCCCGGACAGCUGAGGGCGGGCGGGCUGGGGCUGGGGCGGGCCUGCGGGCCUCACCACGUCAGCCCGCCGCGGGGCUGCUAAGCAGGGCUAUUGUUAGCUGGCUGUCACAGCCGUUCCCGAGAGCUCUAGCGAGUUGGCUCAGGCCACACAGCCUGCAAUUUGCAGGCAGGAGGAUUUGCACUCCUGGCUUGCUUGAAAGAGGCUCUCUCUAGGACUCGGGAGUGGAGUGUCCCCCAGCCCUGCAAUACCGUGGAGUGCUGAACACGGCCUGAGGAUGCCCUUUGCAAGAUUGUAUACAAUAAUUAAAACUGGAAGUUGCCAAAAUAUUUGACGAUAUGGAGAAUGGUCACGUGAACUUUGCAGCAUCCAUACCAUCGCAAAUUAUAGAGCAUCUUUUUAAGAAGGCUGGGCGCGGUGGCUCACGCCUGUCAUCCCAGCACUUUGGGAGGUCGAGGCAGGCGAAUCACCUGAGAUCAGGAGUUCAAGACCAGCCUGGCCAACAUGGCGAAACUCCGUCUCUACUAAUAAUACAAAAGUAGCUGGGUGUUGUGGCGGACGCCUGUAAUCCCAGCUACUCAGGAUGCUGAGUCAGGAGAAUCACUUGAACCUGGGAGGCGGAGGUUGCAGUGAGCCGAGAUCACACCACUGCACUUCAGCCUGGGCGACAGAACUAGACUCCGUCUCAAAAAGAAAAAACAAAGCUGGGGAUGUGGUGGAAAGAUGUCCUAGACAUAGAAUUAAGUGAAAAAAAGAAAGUUGCAAAAACAUGAACAAUAUGAUUUUAUUUGUUAAAAGAUAAAACAAACCACAUAUCCCCUCCUGAGAAAUCUGUAGGUGCGUAGAAAAGGUUGCCAGGGCAAUCGCUGAACGGAUGGAGGAGUCCCCUACAGAGGGAGGCAGGGCAUAAAGGAAGGGUGCAGUGAGUUUCAGAUUUUACUCUGCAUAUUUCUGUAGUAUUUGAGUUUCUCACACCAGAAUGUACUGUGUGUGCUUGUGUCACUAAGACACUAACUCCCAAAGACAUGAAGACUGGAGGCAGCUUUGCAGAAUGGGGCUGGCCCGUGCUUCCAGCCGCCUUUUCAGAAAGCAAGUAGGAAUAAUGGAGAUGCCUAAAGUUAGAGCAGAAGGUGGGAGGCGGAGAGGAACUUAGAGAAUAUCUGGCCCAGCACUUCAUUCUCUGGGUAGGGAAACCGAAGCCUAGGACAGGAGAGGGACUUGUCUCAGCAUCUCACGCCAGCUGGCAGCAGGCACACGGAGGCAGAAGCUAUAGGUUUUUAGCCUGUGUUCUUCCACCACCAGGCCACUCUGCCAACCCUCAAAUGUGCUGGAGUCACAGUGGUGCAGAAGAAGGAGGCAGGAAGAAAAGAAUUAAGUGUUGGCCGGUGCAGUGGCUCACGUCUAUAAUCCCAGCACUUUGGUAGGCCAAGGUGGGAGGUUUGCUUGAGCCCAGGAGUUCCAGACCAGCCUAGGCAAUAUAAUGAGACCUCGUCUUGAGCCCAGGAGAUGGAGGUUGCAGUGAGCCAAGAUGGUGCCCCUGCACUCCAGCCUGGGUGACAGAGCAAAGACUCUGUCUAAAAAAACAAAACAAAAAAAUAAAAAUAAAAUAAAAGAACUAGGUAUUCAUGGGACAGGAUAGGGAUAGGUGGGGAGAAAUUUGGCAUCCGUGUCUUCAACUAUCCAUGCAACAAAUGUGUUGAGGUUCUGGUGGCUUUAAAGCAUGUCUGCAAAUUCUUUAACACCCUUCCCAUUGAAAGGCAGGGCUUCUGUCCCCUCUGCUCUAAUCUGGGCUGACCUUAGCCACUCACUUGUAACACAUAGAAUGUGAUGGAAGUGAUACUGCCUGACUUUCUUUCUUUCAAGAUGGAAUUUCGCUCUUGUCGCCCAGGCUGGAGUGCAAUGGCGCAAUCUCAGCUCACUGCAACCUCCGCCUCCCAGGUUCAAGUGAUUCUUCUGCCUCAGGCUCCCAGGUAGCUGGGACUACAGGCAUGCACCACCACACCCAGCUAACUUUGUAUUUUUAGUAGAGACAACUUUCUCCAUGUUGGUCAGGCUGGUCUCGAAUUCCCGACCUCAGAUGAUCCGUGCGCUCCGGCCUCCCAAAGUGCUGGGAUUACAGGCAUGAGACACCUCGCCUGGCUGUGAGUUUCAAGGUUAGAUUAGAUAAGCAAAAGCAUCUUCCUUCUGGCUUUCUUGGGACGCUGGCUCCGGGGGAUGUCUGACUACCCGGAGAUUGCUGUGCCAGAGAGGACACAUGUAAAGCCUCAGCGGAAAGCUCAGCCAACUCCCAGCCAAUUGCCAGCAUCUACUGCAAAACCCAAGCCCAUCUACAUGUACUCCCUUGAGACUUUGGGUGACUGCAGCCCAUAGCAGAACCCAAAUGAGAACUGCUUGGCUGAGGCCUUCCCAAAUUCUAGACCCACAAAACCAUGAGCAAAAUAGCACUUUUAAGCCACUAAAUUAUGGGGUGAUUUGUUACUGAGCAAUCGUAUCUGCACAGGGGGUUACUCUGGGCCAGGCACUGUGCACAGAAGGGUAGAGCAAUGAAUAAGCAUGCAGAAGCCGGACACUAAGCAGAUAAUUAUGAAAUAAUGUGGUAACUACAGCGAUGGCGUCAUGCAUGGGUCAGAUGGGAGCAGAGCUGAAGAGUCUGUAAUCUAGGCUGGGUGCGGUCUGAAAAGUUUUCUUGGAGCAGGUAACACUGAAACUGGAUUUGAAGGGUGAGUAAGGGUUGGCCAAGUAAAGGGGUGAGCUGAGGAAAGAAAGGCAUUCAGGAAGAAGAAGUAAGGCCUGGAGGUGAGACAGAGAAUGACGCUGGUCAGGAGACUAUGACACAGGAGACAGAACAGGAGAUGACACCGAGCAGGUCACAGGGACCCCAGAUUGUGGGAGCCUUCAGGACAGGCCAACAGGUUGGACAGAAAGGAACUGGGAGGCUUGAAGGUGGGGGCGGGAGAUGGAGCCUCCUGGGAGCAGCAUUGGGAGGAUAGAUAAAAGGGAGAGAGAGGAGGAUAGAACAGCGAGGAGAGAGAAACUCAGGAAAAAGAGCUUGGGGAUUCCCAGGCUAAUUGGGCAGAAAAGGUUGGGAGAGACGGUAUCUGAGAAUAGCAUAGGAAAUAAACAGUCAGGCCUGCGUGCCCAUCGGGGAGUGUCAUGGGCAACUCCUGGGAUCCCUGUUUGGGUGACCAGGCUGGCAGCGGCACCAUCAGCUUAGAGAGCCCUGGAGGAAAAGCCCUGGUAUGAGAAAAGGAGGGUCUGGCUUGGUGUUUGCAACAUCACGGCAGGCCCGAGUGGAAACAUCCAGUAACCCAUGAUAUGUAGGAAUCCAAAGCUUGGGGAGGAGCCUGGGGAGGAAGUAUGGAGAUAGCAGACACUCCUGAAAAUGUGUUGAAUGAAUCGGUGAGUGGACAGAUGGAUGGAUACACACACAUGUGAUUGUUAAGUUGGUUAGGGUAGAUACGGUGGCCAGGGUUGUGGAUCAGGCUCUAUUGCUGAAAUUGAGAGGUGCUGGGAGGGGCCAAGUGUGAUGACCAAGGUAUUAACGAUCCAUGGUCCAAGUUUCUGGAAUGUGUCUCAACAUGUAGGCCAUAAGAAAGCACAAAGGAAAAUACAGAAGUUCAGGAAGUCAGACAGGUUCAGUUCCAAGAAACAUUAAUUUAGGGGCUACCAUGUGCCUGGCACUGUGCUUCAUGUAUAUUAUUCAAUUUAGUCCUUAGGUCAACCCAUUCAUUGAUCCCACAAAUAUUUUUUGAGUACCUCCUAUGUGCCAGGCACUGGGCUAGAUGCUGGCUAUACACUGGUGGAUAAAGCAAACUCCGUCUUUUCCCUCGAGGAGCUUAGGAGCUAGUGGGGGUUAUUAUUCCCUUUUUACAAAAGCACAGAGAGAGUAAGUAACCUGCCCAAGGUCACACAGCCAGGGGAGAUUAUACUGUCUGACUCCAUGUCCAAGAUGCUUCAGGACACCUGCAUGUGGCAGCUGGCAGAGGAAAUGAGGGCAGGGGCAGAGGGUGACCUGACUGCAAGAGCUCAGGUCUGCAGGGAAUCUCAGAACCAGUCAGUGAACUUGGGCUGGACCAGACGCCCAUUUCGGGGAACUUGGGCUCAAUCAUAGGAAUUUAGGAGGACAGUGGGACCCCAAUUAUCAAGACACACAUAUUGGGGCCAGGUACAGUGGUUCACACCUGUAAUCUCAUCAUUUUGGGAGGCUGAGGUGGAUGGAUCGCCCGAGGUCAGGAGUUUGAGCCCAGCCCAGCCAACAUGGUAGAACCCUGUCUCGACUAAAAAUGCAAAUAUUAUCCAGGCGUUGUGGUGUGUGCCUGUAAUCCCAGCUACUUGGGAGACUGAGGCAGGAGAAUCACUUGAACCCAGGAGGCGGAGGUUGCAGUGAGCCUAGAUUGUGCCAUUGCACUUCAGCUUGGGCAACAGAGCCAGACUCUCCUUCAAAAAAAAAAAAAAGACGCAUCUUGGGGUUGGGGCCAAGAUUUUGGGGGCACACACGAAGCCCCAGGUAUGACUUGAGUGCCCCCUCUUAAUGAUGGUGAUGGUGACCCAUGAGUAUCUGCCACACGCAAAGCUAAAUGCUUUCCAGGUGCAGCUAAUUUGAUCCCCACAGCAACCCCUUGCUAGCCCAUGCUACAUUUGAAAAUACUGAGACUCCAGAGGGGUUGAUAACCUGCCACACAGCCAGGAAGUGGCAAAGCCACAGGACUGGGCCCAACGGGCUCCAGAGUCCGGGCUUCAGCCACUAUCCACAGUGCCUCGCAUCAGAGUUCAUAUAGGAAUUAGACUCUGCCCGCACUUACGGGUGGGGCUCAGAGUCCAGCUUUGAGGAGCUGGGGAUGGCACAGACCUGUGGUUAGACCGGGAGCGAACUGGACCUCCUUUCUGCCCACCUCCUGGGGCCCAGCUGUCUACCUCCCUAGGCUUCAGGGUCCUCCAACUCCCAACUCUUUCCUGUCCAGCUCCUAGAAUAGGGUGGAUACCGGAGCUCAGCAUGUCUUACCCUCACUCACUGUGCAGAUGAGGAAACUGAGGCAUAGACAGAUGGUGUUAGUUACCUAAAGUCACUCUGCAAAUGAGUGACAGAGCUGGGGUGAGAUGAUGGGUCCCUUGGGUUUCAGUCUAACAUCCCCUACUCCUAGACUAAGAGCAGGGACUGAGCUCACCAUCACCUCCAAAGAAUGCACAGGGUCCUGUCCCCAAGUCUCCUGUCUUCCUGUGAAAGUACUGCCCUGAGUUCCCGUUCCUAAAGCUCCUGUCCACUCACACCUGCCCAUGAACUCGACGAUGGACACUCAAUGGCGCCAAGCAGCUCAAAUCAAUAGGUCUCAGGCCAAGGAGGGUAAUGUACUAGGGGGUGAUGGGGACUGUGGCAAGCUGGCAAGUGUGUGCCAUCUAGGGGGCACGGACCACAGCCAUGUGGUCCAGAAGCUUGGCUAGAGAAGCUGGAAAUCUUAGAGGUCAGUUCACGUGGUUCCCCACCUAGCAUUAGUAACCAGUUAACUUGGUUUGAAAGAUACAGGUGUGGAAGUACAGCUCAUAGAUGACAGCUUCCCUCCAUCCCUCCAUCCUCUCUGCCUGGUAGGCCCUGAUCUCGGAAGACUGAGGAGGUUGUCCCUGAAAUCCAAGGCAUCUCAUAGUCUCAGGAAACUCUUAUCAUGUCUGCUGGCUUCUUUCGGUAAACCCAGCGGCCCUUAUGCAGGGCAGCACAUAAGAAUCACCUGUGGAGCCAUGGCACCCCUAAUGCCAGGCUGCACCCAGGCCGAUGAAAUCAGAUGCUGGGGGUGGGAGCCAGGCACCAGCCUUUUUUCAAAGCUCCUCAGGUAAUCCAAAAGUGCACCAGCGGCAUCAGCAACACCAGUAGCUUGUUAGAAAAGCAUCUCAGACACUGCCUUAGACCUGCUGAAUCACAAUCUCUGGGGGCGGGGCCCAGCCAGCUGCAGUUUAACAAGCCCUCCAGGUGAUUCUGACUCAAGACAACUUGAGGCGCACCAUCUCAGACUGAGGCUGUGUGAGGCAAAGCUGGGGCCUACAGGAACAUGGCACAUCUGAAAAAUAACCAGCUUCACAAGAGAUAGUCAACUUAAAGACACUUUUUGAAAAGAAAAUCUAGUGGCUGGGCGCAGUGGUUCAUACCUGUAAUCCCAGUACUUUGGGAGGCUAAGGCGGGCAGAUCACGAGGUCAGGAGUUCGAGACCAGCCUGACCAACAUAGUGAAACCCUGUCUCUACUAAAAAUACAAAAAUUAAUUGGGCGUGGUGGUGCACACCUGUAAUCCCAGCUACUGGGGAGGCUAAAGCAAGAGAAUAACUUGAACCCGGGAGGUGGAGGUUGCAGUGAGCCGAGAUCAUGCCAUUGCACUCAAGUCUAGGUGACAGAGUGAGACUCUGUAACAAAAAAAGAAAAGAAAAGAUUACUUUGAUUAAUUACCAAGGGCCAGGGAACACAAGUUGGGCUCUUCUCUCUUAAUAUUUCCAAUUGGAACUUUUCCCCCUCUGACUUCAGGAUUGUGAAACAUCCUCUCCCUUACAAUCUAGAGAUGGAAGCCCUCCUCACUCCUCAAAUUCCGCAGCUCAAGGCUGGCACAUAGCAGAUGCCCAUUAAGCAUCAGUUUCUCUCCUUCCCAUUUCCCCUUGGAAUUUCUAGAGCAGAGGCUUAUACACAUCCUCUUGCUGUUUUGAUUUAGAUUGAAGUUAGCUGGAGUGCCCAAGUGCCUGGUGUGGGGGUGGCCAGCUGGCCAGGGAUUAGGAAAUACUGAGUUGUCUUUAUUUUUAAAACCUUGGCCAAUGCCAGGGGAUAUAAAGGGAAGUGAAUGAAGUGGGAAGCAAAGAUAUUGAUGAUUUGCUUACAUAUCUACAAAAUGACCUAUUUCCUUGAUUAUAUGACACAUAAUUGAUUUACCAAGACAGGUUUUUUUUCGUGGAAAAAAAAAUGCACACACAUUUGCAGGCACAUUAUGUAUAUACAUCAACUAUGAAACUCAUUUGUACUGGGUGCAGUGGCUCAUGCCUGUAAUCCCAGCAAUUUGGGAGGCCUGGGUGGGAGGAUCACUUGAGUCCAAGAGUUUGAGACCAGCCGGGCAACAUUGUGAGACCCCUAUCUCUACCAAAAAAAAAAAUUUUUUUUGAAUGCCAGACAUGGUGGUGUGUGCCUGUAGUCCCAGUUACUUGGGAGGCUGAGUGGGAGGAUCGC